AUAUCACAACCAAAACAUUACAAGUUAAAUUGAUGAAAAGAUAAAGGUACUUAAGAUUUUAGUGUGUAGAAAAUUCGCAAGAGGCGUCCGAGUCCCCCCCCCCCCAUCCAACCAGGAUAGGGUCAAUCAACUGAUGCAGCGUAUUAGAUGUAUUGAACAGAUUAAAUGUUCCUGUAGUGUAUUAUGUUAAAUGUAUUCAGAGUUUCUUGUAAAAAAGAAAUUUUUAUGAAAUUUAUAAUUUCAUUUCGUGCAAAUGACUCAAUUUUUAUUUGUAAAGUAUAAUGCAUAUUUAUACUUCUGUAUGCCAAAAUUUCCUAGUUAUUUUAAAAAUAAAAAAAAUAAAAAAUUUAAUCAUUCCUGGAAUGUGAUAAUAAUAAUACACAAGGAGUUGUAUACAAUGUUCAUUGUACAAUUGUAUUUACGUGCACUUAAAUGCAGUAGUUAAAUAGCAAACUUUCAGAUUCCUCAUCACUAACUACAUACAACCUUUUAAUAAUAAAUCUAUAUAUUUUAGUUUACAGAGUCACAUCAAUGAUUCACAAUUUAUCCUUAACUCAUAAUUGAAGAGGUUAAAGGGUAACUUUAUAAAUCGUUCAUUGUAGGUUUUAGAAUGAACGACCAUUUAAAAUUAAGUGUACAAUCUCUGUAACUUUUAAUUAUCAAUGCAAAUGUAAUCAAUUAUCCAUUGACCGAAAUGAAAUAAAAAUAUUCAUCCUGUUA